UUCCUAUGAAAUCGGAACAGGAGCAUUUGUCUGCAAGUCUGUGCCUUCAUUAAUUACGCACCAACCUGCACCAACCUGCAUUCUUCGGUGGUGAAUACAAAGAGGGAAAGCCUUAGAAGCGGCAUUUCCCUUAGAAACAAUUGCCUGUCAAACAAAGCAUAAAAAGACAAAAGGCAGAAACACUGUUUCAGCUUGAAUGCCUUAAUGUCACUAUUUGUCAUGCAGCACUUCAUCAGAAAACCCCGAAGUACAGUUAACUCCACUCCUCGUCACGCCGCACACUUUCGCUGCUGUUGCAGGAUGAAAAUGUGCCCGGCCUGACAAUGAACCAGCAGAGCCAGCGCACAUUGUUAUGCAACUCGCCGUCUGCAAGGGUGCCUCGUAGCUCCUUCUUUAUUCAGUGAGUGCCAAGUGCAUGUUUAAUCAAUGUCACAGCUCGCCACAGUGUGCAACUGAAGCCGCUGUCAUUCCUCUCUUCAGAUUUGCCGGGCUAAGUUAUGCAAUGCUCCGAAGAAUACCUUGGAAUUAUUUGCAGAGCCUCUGAAUGCAGGUGUGUGACAGCAUUUACACGGCCGCCACUGGAACUGGCUUCUUCUUCUUCUCAGCCCUUCUCAGCCUGGACUAAAAUGACAUAGUGUGACUGCACGUAGCGCACUGCGUUCGGAAUUACAGCAUGGCAACGUGAGAAGCCUCUUCAGACGGCUGCCACUGAGAGUAAAUCAAAGGCUGGUGUUUUUUUUUGAAGUCUUAAUAAAUAACUAAAUAUAAUUGAAUAAAGCAGGAGCUGUUUCUUUUUCUUUCAUUUUCUUUUUUUUUUUUUUUUUUUUUUUUUUUUUUAAGGCAAAACCAAACAGCAUGCAUGUCGUUGCUUUGCAUCAUCCAAGAAAAAAAAUAAUCCUCAUUUUAAUGAGAAUUAGUCAACAGUGAGGAUCAUUACCAGGAAGGUUUUUCUGUUUUUGACUGCACUUGGCGUUAGUGGAUUACUGAGGCAGAAGGCCAGUCAUUUGGAAGAUUUGGUAACGUUAUUAUCCUUGCCGUUAAACUUCUUCAUCAGGGAACUGUUCAUGCUCCUAUCUGGUCUGUCUGAGUGAGGAGAGCAGCCCCUUCAUGAAGAUAAAAGCCUGGUUUGCCACUGAAUCUACAAGUAAGAAGCAUGUCUGAUGACAUUUUAUUCCUGAUGCAAUGUAGGCUAGCUGCCAGAAUACUGGUGAAGAUAUUUGCAGGAAAAAUGGGGACCUCUGCCAUCACAACACUGGAGGAUGUAAAAAGGCGAGAGGAGAAGGAGGAAAAAGAAGAAUCUAUUCUAGCACUGCUUGGAAUUAUUGGAACUGUGCUCAAUUUAUUUGUUAUUGUUUUUGUGUACAUCUACACUACGCUUUGAUGGCAUUUUUGAACAUCAAUUGCAUAGCACACAGUGCAAAGACCAGCGACAGUAAGGAUGAUUUCUAAAUUUAAAG